CCUACGGGGGGCAGCAGUGAGGAAUAUUGGUCAAUGGGCGCGAGCCUGAACCAGCCAAGUAGCGUGAAGGAUGACUGCCCUACGGGUUGUAAACUUCUUUUAUAAAGGAAUAAAGUGCAGUAUGUAUACUGCUUUGCAUGUACCUUAUGAAUAAGGAUCGGCUAACUCCGUGCCAGCAGCCGCGGUAAUACGGAGGAUCCGAGCGUUAUCCGGAUUUAUUGGGUUUAAAGGGAGCGUAGGCGGGUUGUUAAGUCAGUUGUGAAAGUUUGCGGCUCAACCGUAAGAUUGCAGUUGAAACUGGCAGCCUUGAGUACAGUAGAGGUAGGCGGAAUUCGUGGUGUAGCGGUGAAAUGCUUAGAUAUCACGAAGAACUCCGAUUGCGAAGGCAGUUCACUGGACUGCAACUGACACUGAGGCUCGAAAGUGUGGGUAUCAAACAGGAUUAGAUACCCCAGUAGUC
rnacentral:rRNA from 1 species